GAAAAUGAAAAAGUUCUCUUUUGUCAUAUUAAGCAGUCUCACUGCAAACAAAUUGCAGGUAGUUUUUAGAUGCACAAACCUCAGUCAAUAUAAAUUGUGCAUUUUUUAUGACAUGCUGCAUAAGUCAAUGCCUGAUAUUCCUGUGUUUGUGUCUUGCAGUACAGUCUGGUUGUGGUGGAGGUGAGAAUUCGCUCCAAGUCUUUGAAUAGACAUGACACUGCUUUAUUUCUGGAUGUUGUCUUUGUACUUUUCACAAUGGUUUUGAAGGCUUUCUGAGCUGUUAAUUGUUUUACUAGGACAAGCAUUAUUACUGGAUUGGUCAGAGGACAAAUGUUUCCUCAACCGGAUACUGGAGUUUUCUCAUGCUUUAACCCCAGAGACUCUGAUCGGGAUAUACACGAUUUUAUUGGUGACAGAAUGAAUUCCCAGGCUUUUGAAGUGAAAAAAUAUAUUUUACCCAGGUUUGACAUCAGUGUAAACACAUCACACAUGCGUUGGAGAUGUGGGACUGAAAAAACACCUAUGGGCAACCUGUACCUGGUCAAGGGACCGUUUCCCUAUGUUUUGGUUCCUGAGGUGACCCGUCUGUGCCUGAAUGAAACCUCUAAGGUAUGACUACUGGUAUAACUCAUGUUUGUGGCAUUUCGUUUCCCAGAUGUGGUCAAUCUGUAACCGUGUCCAUCACAUUUAAAGUUGGAAAGUUUAUGUUUGCAGAGCUCCCAGAGUUUUUUUUUUUUUUUUUUUUUUAAACCUGGAUCAACAGUUGACGGAAAGGCAAGUAGAAGUUCAUCACAUUGGUGUUCUUUCCUAACGUUUCUUUCCCAGCAGAUCUUGGCAUCUUAUUUCAAGCGCAUUUCUUAUUUCAAGUUAUUUCAUGUCUUAGAUGGUAGCCAGUCCCUUAAGGCCGGAACACACCAAGCCGACUCCGACGAACUAGUGGUGACGAAAGCAGACUGCGGGGUUGGCUCAUGUCGGCAGCGUCUGUGUCCAAAGUUGCCCUGACGCACCAAACCGAUGCUCGACACCCGACGGCCAAGUAGCACGUCCGUUCUGCGCCUGCGCAAGAUGAAAUGCCUUUCCGUACCAGCAGGUGGCAGUAGCUGAACAGCCGAUCAGAAUGAUCAGAGGGCCCGACGGACCGACGAGCGCCGAUUCAACAUUUCGAAUCGGCCGGAAAAAAGCCGACGAGGACCAACUUCAGCCGACGGUGCAGAACACACUGAGAAAACUUAGUCGGCCGACAAACAAAAACUGCCCGACGGCCAACCGUCGGCUUGGUGUGUUCCGGCCUUUACAGAAUGAAAAUAUAUUUUCAUAUUUAUAAUCAAUACAAUAAAUGGGUUAAAUAAACUGAAAAAUAUAUGAAAUAAUAUAUGUGUUAAUAUAUUACAAUAUAUAGAAUAUAUAUACAUAACGAAUUGCUGUUUUUCUACAUUCUUUUCUUUUCUUUAG